rnacentral:rRNA from 1 species
GACGAACGCUGGCGGCGUGCCUAAUACAUGCAAGUCGAGCGCUUCUUUCCUCCCGAGUGCUUGCACUCAAUUGGAAAGAGGAGUGGCGGACGGGUGAGUAACACGUGGGUAACCUACCCAUCAGAGGGGGAUAACACUUGGAAACAGGUGCUAAUACCGCAUAACAGUUUAUGCCGCAUGGCAUAAGAGUGAAAGGCGCUUUCGGGUGUCGUUGAUGGAUGGACCCGCGGUGCAUUAGCUAGUUGGUGAGGUAACGGCUCACCAAGGCCACGAUGCAUAGCCGACCUGAGAGGGUUAUCGGCCACACUGGGACUGAGACACGGCCCAGACUCCUACGGGAGGCAGCAGUAGGGAAUCUUCGGCAAUGGACGAAAGUCUGACCGAGCAACGCCGCGUGAGUGAAGAAGGUUUUCGGAUCGUAAAACUCUGUUGUUAGAGAAGAACAAGGACGUUAGUAACUGAACGUCCCCUGACGGUAUCUAACCAGAAAGCCACGGCUAACUACGUG